ACAUAGAAGUCCACCACCUCCUACCCACAAAAUUUCACCUGUAACUCGUCACGCUCCACCUCCUCCACCUCCACCAAGUCCGGUAUAUUAUCACCACCCAUCACCACCACCUCCACAACCAGUAUAUUACGCGCCACCAACAUAUAAACCUCAAUCACCACCACCACCUCCACCACCAGUACAUUACGAGCCACCAACGUACACACCUCAAUCACCACCACCACCUCCACCAGUACAUUACGAGCCACCACCAUACACACCUCAAUCACCACCACCUCCACCAGUACAUUACGAACCACCAACGUACACACCUCAAUCGCCACCACCACCAGUAUAUGUGACACCGUCUUCACCACCACCACCAGUAUAUGAGCAUCCAAAACCUCCAACUCCAACUCCAUCACCACCAGCUGGGUACACACCUCCCC
rnacentral:lncRNA from 1 species